AAUAGCUCGUACUCCCCGAAAUGUUUUUAGGAACAGCCUCGAUAAAUUGUCUGACGGAGGUAGAGCUACCAAUUGGACUAGGGGGUGUCACAACCUACCGAAUCCAGAUGAACUCCGAAUGCCGUCAGAUCUACAUCGGGAGUGAGGGCAAGGGUGCUAAGGUCCUUGUCCAAGAGGGAAACAACCCAGACCAUCGGCUAAGGUCCCCAAGUGUAUGCUGAGUUGAACAAAGGGGGUCCAGCUACAGAGACAGCCAGGAGGUUAGCUUGGAAGCAGCUAUUCCUUUAAAGAGUGCGUAACAGCUCACUGGUCGAGUGGCAGGGCAUCGAUAAUAAUCGGGCAUAAGCAUACCACCGAAGCCAUGGUACCGCAAGGUAGGUAGGGGAGCAUUCCAAUGGCGCAGAAUGCGUGCCGUGAGGCAUGUUGGAGCGGUUGGAAAAGCAAAUGUAGGCAUAAGUAACGAUAAGCGGUGCGAGAAACACCGCCGCCGAAAGACCAAGGUUUCCCCGGCCAUGCUAAUCAGCCGGGGGUCAGUCGGGACCUAACGCGUACCCGAAAGGGGAAGUGGAUGGACAAGCGGUCAACAUUCCGCUACCCGCACGGUGCCAAAAGCGACGGAGGCGAGGAGUCGGUGCGUGCAGACGGAAUUGCACGUUGAAGGGAACGGCAACGUCCCGAUAGUACGCCAAGGCCACGGCCGAGGCGAUAAUCCGGCAUAUCGACUUCCAAGAAAAGCGAACCGUGCGGCCCGUACCGUAAACCGACACAGGGAGGUGGGUAGAGCAUACUAAGG
rnacentral:rRNA from 1 species